rnacentral:lncRNA from 1 species
ACACAUCUCUACUCCCACUCACUUCCUGUAGCCUCCCCCUCGCCUCUGACUUUCUUUAAAUGCAAUGUUUUAGGUCAUUCUUCUUGUCCAGCUUCUCUGUUAAAUUAAAAACACCCUAGUGCUUGUACAUUUAGCUGAAUCAAGCCAGACGCUGUAUUUUAUUUUUAUAACUGAAUUCCUGUGAGAUAAAAAUCUCAUUUUCCUUAGUAGGCUGUAAUCAGCACUCACAGGGAUGUGGUUUCCAACUGCCCCAGCUCGUGCUUCCUUAUGAAGCUCCGCUGAGAAAUGAACUUGGCUCCUGUUCAGGUUUAAAGGGCCCGAGGCCGGUCACACAUUGCUCACUCAUACACACACACACACACACACACACACACACACACACACAGAGGAUGUGCACACAAAGACCAUUAUACAUGUAUGCACACACACAUGGACACACGUUCUUGUCCAGGGAAGCCCCUACGGUUCCACACACGAAGAGCAAAAAAGUAUUCCCUGAGACAGACAGACACACAAUCAGUACCCAGUGUCAUUCUUCCCCUUUCCAGGAGGAAAAUAGGUGAAUAAGUCAAGCUGAAAGCUGCUUCCGAAAAGACUGUUUUAAACUAGCAGGCAGGCCAGCGUUAUGCAACUCAUGGCUAGGUUCAUUAAAGGAAUCGAGGUUUGCCGACUGCACAAAUGUUCCCCUGCCUGCCUCCGCCCCAGCCCCUCCACCCCACCCUGCUCUGAUUCAUGAACUAGUUUUCAGAUUCAUGAAUCACUCGGGAGCCAGCAAGAGAAAAAUGAGUAGUAUUGAUCUCAUUUCAAUUGAAAUGGGCUCAUUAAGGCCAUGCUGGCUGUGGACGGCCUUGCACGACAAGACGCUGGCCGGCGUCCGAGGUCUGCAGGCGGGCGCCCGAGCCUGCGGGUGGGACAGGACUCCUUGGGUGAAGCCUCCGCGGAGGGUGCCCCUUCUUAUUAUUAUUAAAUGGACACAAUAUGAUCUACUGGUACAAGGGACUCUGGCUGCACUCCGCAGCCCUCGUUGGGCAGGCCGGUUUUCUUCUUUUUGUGUGGCCCGUUUAUUUUGUUAUUUUUUUUCACAGUUAAUGGAAUCUCAGUGCAGUUUCGCUCCUGGAUUUCUGGUGACUCUUAAGGACUACCUGAAGUAGGAAUUCACCUUCUGAAACAACUGGCAUAUCUUGGGGUUUGUUUGUUUUAACGCAAACAAGGAGCUUUUUACUCUUCUCCCUCCAGACCUCUGCCUUGCCACCCUCCUUGUACCGUCUUCAGCGAGAAGGACUAGGGGCUAGGAACCAUCUAGACUUGGAGUAAUCUAAUUUAUGUGGGGAAAAUUUCUCCACCAACUGGAUGGCUGCCUUCACGUGGACACCGGUUUUAUAAAACCACUCUUUCCCUUCCCAAAUGAGAAUAAUGGUUGAGGAAGCAGCAACAGAGCCUGGGUGCAGAGACAUCACAGAGGGAGGCGUUAGGCCCCUGGGGCAGAUGUCGCAGAGGCCGCCCACGAAGGAGCUCUCUUCUCUCCCACUGCCUUUCCUCUCCCCACUUGAGUUCCAGCUCCCUCUUGACACGAGCUCCCCUCCCCUUUCCAGCCCUUCGCCUUACACUUGUCCUCAUGUCUGGGGAAUCUUUUCCUCUUCCUCUCUACAACACCGGUUGGGCACCGUGUGUGAGCAGAUCAGGAGAGGCUAUUAGCUUUGAUUUGCAGCUUCCAAAUGGAUUUUUGCAUGGUUUCUUCCUCCAGCUCCUUCCACCCCCACGCCAGCCCUGGGAGAUUAAAAACAAUGGACUGGACACAUGCUUUUCAGAAAACCCAAAAAGCUGUCAACCAACACCACAGAAGGAUUCCAUCCUAAGAGGCAUACUUUUGGAUCCAAGAGUUUAGAAAUGAGAUUCUUAUCCAUUGACUUCAGAGACACCGUCAUGCAUUAGACGCAUUUCCCUUGGCAGGGAUUCGACGAAGUGACCUUACUCCCCUUUGUUCCUGCAGUGCCCGGAGAAACUGGGAAUGACCCAAAGAAGGAAAAGGAAGGCCAAGGGUAACGUCGUUGCCUGAGAAGCACUGGAGGAGAGGCAGGAACACAGAUUUGUCGAGAGCACUUACAUGUGUGCACACACCGUAACAAAGGGCAGGCUUGUUGUACGGCCACAUCACGGAGCCAGGGGACGUGCCUCGGGAAGAUGAAAUAACGCUACAUCCUCUGCCUGAAGUGACGGUCUCAGCCAGCCCAUGAGCCUUGACAGCGCAUUGUUGGAGUUUGGAAUCAACUGCCGCCUUUUCAUGGAUAACUUCCUGAAUCUGCAGUUAAAAUUUCAUUUUUUUCUGGGUGCCCCGAGUAAAACACCCUCUGUUAAAGAUUUAUCACUUCCGCUGUAUUUCAGCUGCCUGUGGGCAUCCCUCAAUGCCCCAGUGCUGAACAGACUGUCACACCGAAGGUGCUCACGGGCCUGCCGGACGAUUGAAGUUGUACAACCUGCAGACAGAGGAGCUAAGUGUCCACACGGCCCUCCCUGCUCUUUCCAUUCUAUGUAGCUAUCUUGCUGGCACCAUUUACUCCUUUCUUUCUUUCUUUUUUUUUCUUUUCUUGAGACAGAGUCUCUAGCUGUCGCCAGGCUGGAGUGCAAUAAUGGCAUGAUCUCGGCUCACUGCAACCUCUGCCUCCCGGGUUCAAGUGAUUCUCCUGCCUCAGCCUCCCGAGUAGCUGGGAUUACAGGCAUGCGCUACCACGCCCAGCUAGUUUUUCUAUUUUUAGUAGAAACAGGGUUUCACUAUGUUCACCCGGAUGGUCUCGAUCUGUUGACCUCGUGACCCGCCUGCCUCAGCCUUCCAAAGUGCUGGGAUUACAGACGUGAGCCAUGGUGCCCAGCCACUCCUUUCUUACUCCUUUUUAGUCCAGUGAAAUCUAGCUAGCUUCUCCCUUACCCGUAAUUGUUUCAUUGUAACUUAUUCUUGCUGAGAUUACUAGAGCUAUAUUUAGACCUCCUAAAUAGUAUCAUCCACUGCCUACAGUCCUUUGGACUGUAUUCAGUUCGUGUGACCCCUCCCUCGCAUGGAAACUCUCUCUUGCCUUAGUUUUUAUGGCAUGACAGCCUUAUGCUUGCCUUCCUGUCGCAGAGCUCGUGUAUCCAGCAAUUAUCGGUGCUCCCAAGGUUCCUUGUUCUUCCCCCUUCAGAGGUCUGUGCUCCUCAACAACUCUGACCCAGCCGUGGUUCCAACAACCAUGCCAAUGUGAAGGACCCUAGAUUUCCAUCUCCAGCAAGGACCUCUUUCCAGAGUGUUGGAUGGGUAUUCCCAUUAACCUACUAGACAGCUGCAUGUGGAUCUCUCAGAGCCCCUUUAAACUCAGAUCAUCUUCCCACCAAAAUCUGUCCUCCCCUCAACUCAGGACAAAGACCUCACUGUAGGAGAACAAAGGAAGUGGAAAUCUAACAGGUGGCAGUUCACCUACAAAACCUUAGUGUCAUGCAAGAGGGCUGUCCUGUGCGGUCAUUCUCAGUAUUGAGCCAAUGUAAUGAAGAAGCGUGUAGUGUGUGGUGGGCAUUUUCCAUUAUGUUUUGGUGGCCCCACAUGGCUGGACUUCCCAGGAGCUUCCCAGAGCUCCUGCUUUGGUUAAUGGUGAGCAUUUAGGCCAGACGGCCUUGCAAAUAUCUUUCCUACAUGGGACACACUGUUGCAGCCUUGCUCUAAGGCAUAGCCUGCCUUUUUUUUUUUUUUUGGUAUGAUAAAAGAAAUAUAGAAUAUUAAUAUAUUCUCCCUGGCUUUCAAAGAUUCCCAGUGCAUUUUUCUAAUACAGCAGCUAUUUACAUUAUAUUUUCUUCUUGAUUCAUCAUUUUUGAAUGAGGCCUUGUGGGUUUGAGGGCUGGUGAGAAAUAGUGCCGGGGAGAGGGUGAGGAAGAUUGCUUUAGAUGAGAGGCACGACUGUAAAUCUUGAAGUAAAAUUAUCUUUGUGAACUAAACGGUACCUGAAUUUUAUUCAAAUGAAAAGCUGGGCAAUUGAGUGUGAUUUAAAAUGAUCACUGUUCUAUACUUCAAAUGCACUGAAACAGGUUUAUUUUGCAAUAACCUGGAGAACAUAUGCAAAUUGAAGUUAUAUUGUUUAAUCUGAAGAAGUGAAGGCUGACUGAAUAAUCGGACUGCAAGGAUAUGAAGUAUUAUGUUGAGGAUAUAUACCACGAUUUACCAUUAAAUAGUACACAAAAUUAAAAUGGACUUAAAAUGCUCAGGAAAUAUGUAUUGUUAGAUAAUAGAAAAGUUAAAAUUUCUAAAAAUAGCUAAUGCUUCAUGGAUUUUUAAAGUUUUGUUUUGUUUUGUUUUUUUGUUUUUGAGAUAGGGAGAAGAUACUAGGGGAAAAAAGCAGAUGGAAAACUUCCUUGUGGUUUUUCUGUAGUAGCUUAGAGUCUGUUCUAAGGAGCAGAGAUUUCAGAGUAUGGUCUUGGAAACCUUUGUGUUCUUUGUUUCUUGUAGACGCCACACGCCUCUGUCCCCUGGCCACAGAGGCUGAUUUUGCUGUAUCUGACAUGGGUUUCUUGACCUGCUGGGAAGGCCCAAUGUCUAAUUUCCUGGUCUGCACCCUGCAGAAACCAGUGGAAAUUAAGCAGCGAUCGAUUAUCCUACCCCAUCACACCUUUCCUAGAUCAGAUGAUGCUGGCUGAGGCUUUGAAGUAUUGACAACACACUCUUUUUUCUUUUUACACCUUUUCUUCAGAGGACCUGACUCAUUCCCUGUAAAGGGAGGAAUCACUGCAGAGACACCCCCUGUAGCCACACUGCACCCUUGCAGGGGCUGGGGGACGAGAAGCAGGAUGUUGGUAGUGGUGUUGUUACCUCUCAUGACACGAAUCAGGCCCUUCCACCAUACACUUCAUUGAGGGGAUUCUGAAAUGGGGUCCUAAGGUUGCUCUGCUCUGAGAUGGAGCGUGGAGCACCGCCUCGCACUGUUGCUCUGGGGUUUGUCUUUUGCCUGGGUCUAGCUUAGCAAGGGCAAUGGCAAGAAGGGGUUUGGGAGUCAGGAGACUAUUAAUUCCAAGGGCCAAGGAUUGGCACAUCUUGGAAUAUUCCAGAAGUGUCCGCUCAGAUGGCAAAUAUGGGGACAACGUUACCGGCCCUCCUUCCAGCAAGGAGGCUAAUAUAGACCCACUCACUGCUACCAACCACCAACUCUUGACCCUUGGAAUGAAACAGUCUGUUAACUCCCAAACCCCUUCUUGCCAUUGCCCUUGCUAAGCUAGACCCAGGCAAACGACAGGCCCCAGAGCGACGCUGCAAGGCAGUGCUUCGCGCCACUUUCAUCAGGGAGGUGCCUGUGAGAUUCUGCCUCGUCCCCAUGACCUAGUUCAUGCCCUCGAUAUGCCGGUGAGAUGUGCAGGAGCUUCCUGAAGGGCCGCAUCAUCCAGCCUUUAUUUUUGUACCUCUGUAUGAGUUUUUCUCAACUCCUGCUGUCCAGUAGCCUCACUUAGGGAACCUGUAAAUAAUACCUAUGCUUGGGCCCCACCCAAGACCCAUUAAACUGGAUUAUCUGGGGAGGAAACCUGGCAGUGGUGCUUUUUAAAAAGCUCCCCAGAUGACUUUAGUGUGCAGCCUGGAUUGAGAAUUGCUGGAUCAAUUGCUGGGGGAAGAGAGAGUUCUGUGCCAGCAUAUGAGUGGGUUUUCAUAACACUAAGGAGCCUUACUGUGUGUAGGUGAUACCUACACUUCAACCAGGAGUUCUGACAGAUCAAGGACUAUUGCCCUACCAGCUGGGGAGUGACACGAGAGAGGCAUGGGCAAGGAACCAGUACAGGGAGCCCACUUACCUGGGAGAGCUGUACAAAGUUCACUGCAAAGGGUGAAACCUGAAUUGUUUGCAUUAUGCGUGGGUCUUUGGCAGAUAGAGAUGGGGAGACAGGACAUUUCCGCAGAAAGGACAAUGUGCAGGCGUGAUGCAGCAUGAUUUUUCAGGGGGACCAGAAGGUAAGUGUCAAAAAAGCAGACUCUGGGGCGUCCUUGUCCCUUUCCAGGAGCUGAGACCUGAGCUAGACACCACUGGGAUGUGUCUGGAAGGAAUGAACUGGUGGACACGGAAGCAUUGUCUUCUCAAGGGUGCAGGGUGUGCCUGGAGAUGAGGCUGGAGACAGCAGGAGCCCUGCCAUGGAUGGAAUUCUGCACCACGUUAAUUGGACUUUACCCAGUAAGCUAGAAGUUCUCACCUGGUUCAAGGAUGAGGACCUAUAUUUAAUAAGAAAAAACAAAAUUAUUUCAGACCGUCUUGUAGUAGUAGUAGUAGUUGUCAUGGUACUUUAAGAACCAUUGAAUCAGAAAAUGCAUAUAGACUAACAAAUGACUCAAAAUUUAAUGAUUUUUUAGUGGAUUUUUUUUUUUGUUUUUUGAGACGGAGUCUCACUCAGCUGCCCAGGCUGGAGUGCACUGGUGUGAUCUUGGCUCACUGUAACCUCCGUCCCUCCGGGUUCAAGCAAUUCUCCUGCCUCAGCCUCCCAAGUAGCUGGGAGUACAGGCACGUGCCACCACACCCAGCUGAUUUUUGUAUUUUUAGUAGAGACGGGGUUUCACCAUGUUGGCCUGGCUGGUCUCGAUCUCUUGACCUCGUGAUCCACCUGCCUCAGCCUCCCAAAGUGCUGGGAUUACAGGCAUGAGCCACCACGCCCAGUCUAGUGGAUUUUAAUUUUGAUCACAACAGCAAGGUAUAGGUACUGUAUCUGUUUACAACAUCAAAGGUUAAGAAAUGUUUACCUUUUCUUAUCUUUCUAACAUAAAUCAUGACUGUUUUGAGCUCCUGAUAGUAGAUUAGAGUCUUUCUUAGGCCAGGUGUGGUGGCUCACAUCUAUAAUCCCAGCACUUUGGGAUCAGGCCUAGGCAGGAGGACCGCUUAAGGCCGAGAGUUUGUGACCAGCCUGGGCAACAUAGUGCGAUACCACCUCUAAAGAAAUAAAAAAUUAGCCAGGUGUGGUAGUUCAUGUCUAUAGUCCUAGCUACUUGGGAGGCUGAGAUGGGAGAAGCCCUGUAGCCCAGGAGUUUGAGGCUGCAGUGAGCUAUGAUUGCACCACUGCACUCCAGCCUGGGAGACAGAGUGAGACUUCAUCUCAAAAAAAAAAAAAAAGGAAUAUUCAGUAACAUUUAUUGGUGGUGCUGUUCACUGUGCUUGACACUUUAUUGCCUUAGCAUUUCACUCUCACCACCACCUUAUGAAGU